GACGAACGCUGGCGGCGUGCUUAACACAUGCAAGUCGAGCGGUAAGGCCCUUUCGGGGGUACGACGAGCGGCGAACGGGUGAGUAACACGUGGGUGACCUGCCCUCAGCUCUGGGAUAAGCCUGGGAAACUGGGUCUAAUACUGGAUAUGACUCCACGGUGCAUGUCGUGGGGUGGAAAGCCUUGUGCGGCUGAGGAUGGGCCCGCGGCCUAUCAGCUUGUUGGUGGGGUGAUGGCCUACCAAGGCGACGACGGGUAGCCGGCCUGAGAGGGCGACCGGCCACACUGGGACUGAGACACGGCCCAGACUCCUACGGGAGGCAGCAGUGGGGAAUCUUGCGCAAUGGGCGAAAGCCUGACGCAGCGACGCCGCGUGAGGGAUGACGGCCUCGG
rnacentral:rRNA from 1 species